AGCUAAUAGCUAUAAACCUCACUAGUGAGUCAGAACCUGACUGCUAGCUCCCUUGUGCUGCUGGUCAUUUAUAUUUGUGUCAAGUUAGUGUAAAAUACAACUGUCAACGUGUGCAUGACUCCAUAAAGUACAGAGCAGGAGAGAUUCAGGCCCUUAGUGCCUUGAUUUAAAGGCACAACAAUGUGUUAAUUGUUAUGAGAGAAGCACAAAUCUUGUAUUUGGCUGUUGGCAGGGGUGAAUUGGUGACACUGAAUGAGGACGAUGUGAGGGAUGAGGAGUUUGCAAAUUCAAGCCUCGACCUGCAAUUUGUACUUGCUGUGCUGGCAGAAUCAUUGAUUUCAGUGUGACUACUCUCAGCGAAUAAAGGCUGUUUUGUUGGUGUGCAAGCUUGGGAAUAUGUCACAGUUUGCCACCUUCUGUUUUUGCCAUUUGGAAAAGCUAUUUUUUGCCACAGGGUUUGCUUCCAGCAACUUGCGAUGAGCUGCUGCAGUGAUGUACAGCUGAGAGGACCCGAACACACUGCUGGGGGACGUGUGAAGUAUUUUUUUUUCUUCUCUUCCUGGGGAACCCAUUCGUGGCCAGCCCCAAACUAUGCUCUUUUCCUGUGAUGGGUGUCUUCUGCUGCUUCUCAGUGAGUCUCUAACAGCCACUGGUUAUUGCCUACUUGAGGACAAGGAGGACUAUAAUUAUUCAGACUCAUUUCUCCGAUUUAAUAAGCAGUGUAAAUCACUGACUGCUUCAGACUUUUGUUGUGUUUCAGCAGCAAAAAUACUAACCCCCCCCCAAAAACCCCAACACUUCUUAAAAUUAUUUGUGCAGUUGCCAUAGAGGAGAAGUUGACUGUAGAAGAAAUUAGGCCAGGUGGCAGACUCAGGCCCUAUGCCAAUGGUCAGCUAAAGGACUUCUAAGUUCCUUGGACCUGAGGUGUGAAAGUCUGAGACCUUCUCCUAGAAGUUGGAUGCCACCUCAGGUUGACGAGUCAGCCAUUCUAUAGGCAACAUGUGCUUGUGUUAUCUGCUGGCAUAGAAUUUCUUAAGUGGCCUUCUGUUGCUACUGAAGACCUGUCCAGAGCAUCUGUCAAGCCCUGGAGAUCCUCCAGCGGAAGAGCAGUUAGUAAAUGACAAAACCUCUAUGAGAGACAAGGCAUUCGUGGAAUCCAUUUUCAG